rnacentral:piRNA from 1 species
UUAGCCACACAAAGGCUAAGUCGCCCCG